ACUAGAAUCACAUAUACUACCUGCUAGAAAGAGGGAGACACCACCAGUGCUGUCGAUUCAGAAGAGCUCCGGUGGCUCCACCACUGUCGUCACCAUCGCCCAUUUCUUUUUCAUUGCUAUCAAAUCGAGUUAUAGAUCAAUUAGAACACUGAAUGAAGAACCUGAUAACAAAAUUUACUGCCCAAAAUCAAUUAAUCUGGUCCUGCCUUAUAUUGAUGCUGUGAACCAAAUUUCGAAGAAGAGACGAUUUCUAGUGCAAACUCGUUUUCUCAUGUUUCUUUUGCAGCAAAGCCUCCUUCAUCUUCUUCGAAAAGGAUGUGCAGUUUGUUUGAAAACGUGCUUUCCAGCAAGUGUAGCCAAGCCGAUCGAUUUUCCAUUCAAAAAAACUCGCUCACCUAAAUGUACAAAUUAAUCUAUCUCUCUCUGAUAUAAUAUUACAUAAUCAUUUACUUGAACUCUUUUAGAAAGCAGCAGAAACAGGAGUGGAUGAGUAAUCAGAGUCCAACGUGAGGAAAGGGUAAAUUCUAGAGAGAGAGAAUGAGGAAAAUGUAAA
rnacentral:lncRNA from 1 species